UCACUGAGCAGUCUAGUGCUGUCUGAAACCUCUCCCGAGAUCUUUUCACAUCAUCAAUAGGUGAUGUGUGUAUGCUAUAAGGCUGGUCUGUUUCAUCUCCUUUAACUAGAAUGACUAUUGUCUCAUGGCCUGUAGGGGGGUUGUGGAAUAUAUCCUUACAAUUACAGGGGUCUCUGGCUAGAAGAAGUACUUUUCAGCCCUCAAAAUGUCAUGGAAACAAUCUUUCCAGCCUAAGUUAAAAUAAAACUUCAGAGACAGAGGGUUUGUAGAUGCCAGAGAUGGAGGUCGAGGGGACCAUGAAGAGGCGGCUCCAGCUGGCAUCAGAUCGAGAGUGUGGGCGCAAGAGCAGACUUUUGAUAAAGGAGGCGUGUCGGCCUUGGAGAUGAGAAUCACGCCAACUCGGAACGAUCCCCUCUCUUUGUGCAGUUCAUCGACUGUGUGUGGCAGAUGAUGAGACAGGUGAAACCCAGGGCUCAAACCAAGAGAAGACAUUCAGAGCUAUUCAUUGUUUAAAGUCCAUUUAACGAGUUUCCUUCUGCUUCUGAGUUCAAAGAGCUUUUUCUCAUCCCCAUCCUGGAGCGCCCCUACAGCUGCCUGUUUGGUACAUUCCUCUACAGCAGUGAGCAGGAGAGAAUGGAAAAGGAAGUACAGGGUAGAACGGUCACUGUGGUCCUACGUUAACAGUCAGCCGGAGGACUUCACUAACCCGUUCUAUGUGGACUGUAAAAACCAGGUGCUGUAUCCACUGGCCAGUCUCACACAUCUGGAGCUCUGGGUGGGUUAUUAUGUGCGCUGGAACCCACGCAUGAGACCACAGAUGCCGCUCCAUCAGAAUCUGAGAGAGUUAUUGUUUUUGCGUGAAGAACGUGGAGGAGCUCCAGAGAGAGGCCACGUCAUCCUGCUCCAUCUCCUCAUCCUCAGAGCAUACUUCUCCCUCCUCACAUAGUGGAGGCAGUUCAGCUGGACGGAGAGAUCCUGCAUGCGCUGUGAAGCGAGUGUGUUCUGUGGCGUAUCGGCACCUGGACAAGCACAAGAUCGAGCCGGUGCUCUACAUGAUGGAGUGGUUCAUGUGCGCCUUCUCCAGAACUCUGCCCUGGGCCUCGGUCCUCCGAGUGUGGGACAUGUUCCUGUGUGACGGUCAGACACAAACACACACUUGUCCUUCUUUUCUUUCUGUGUUGAUUCUCUCUCUCAUUCUUUCUUUGUGUAGGAGUGAAAAUGAUAUUCUGUGUGGGUUUGGUGGUGUUGACGUCCAUGCUGGUACUCGGGAUAAGCUCAAGGCCUGUCCGGGUCAGUAUGAGACCAUGGAGGUCCUCAGAGCGAUUGAGCCUAGAUACAUGCAGGAGGGCUUCUUAGUGCUCCAGGUUCUGGAGUUGCAGGUAUCGGCACAGGACGUGGAACGUGAGCAACGCACGCAACUGAAGCGCUGGAAGAAGAAGCACGGCGAGCCCGGCCCCAAACUCCCUCAGAGAAUGCACAGUGCUCGCGCCAUCAUAGCCACCAAGCCUCAUACACACCAAGACCUCCGCCAGAAACCCACCAUUAUGGUCCAGUACCCAUCGGUCCCUGAGGAGAAGUCCGAGCCGAACCUCAGGAAGAAGAGAGGGAGCCUGAAGAAAAACCAAGCCCUCAUUCCGAACCCCUACGCGCUACCUGGCGAGUCUAAACCUAGUCAGAUAUUGGACAUACAGCUUCUGAACCAGGAAAAUCUCAAUCUUGUACUUCCAAAUACACCAUCACAUCCACCACGGCUCCCUACAAUGCAGGAAAAUCAGGUCGAAGAGACGAGCACUUCUACAGAGCGACUCGUGCAGCGUCCUCGAAUUCCUCCAUCGACAAGAAACUGGCGGAAUCUAUCCCUCUGCAACAUCUAUCCCUCCUAACUGCUCCUGUACACGGAUCACCUUCAGCGUAGCGUCCUCACCUGCUGAAAUGUGCUCCUGUCCAAUCCGGACAACCUGACCAUGAUGAGCUCCCUAAUAAUACAUAAAACUCAGCCACCAUUUUGGAUCCAUCUACAGACUCAAGCCCUCUGCUAACGCACAACGCACCUGCCACCCACGACUCGCCUGCUGCUCCCGAGUACAAAAAGAACACUCAUUGAUUUAUUUUUUUUGUUGUGCGUGUUAAACAGUGUGAUACGUUGAGGAAUUGAUUAUUGGCACACGUCUACUGAAUAGCAAGGAUCGUUAAGUCUUUAACGUGUGUAAACUAUACUUGUUAUAAACUAUACGUGUUAUAGUUUACACCGGAGGAACUGCAAACAAUCUGAGAGAGGACCACACUUGGUCCAAAAAUGUACACACACUCCACAAAAACUCUCACUUUUGAAAGACUUUCACAGGCAUCACAAACAUUUGUUUAUAUUACACUCGUAUCAAUUUGGCAGGUUUUUUUCUUCUUAAUCCGAAGCAACCACCACUUCUUUGUGUUUGUAUUUCACAAAUUUCCUUACCACAUCUUACAAGAGCUGCACGACAAUCACAACAAUCCUGUACAAUAGGCACAGCCUUUUCAUUAACAUAAUCUCAGUGAAAUAUCUACUGUCUGUAUACUUUACACGCAAACAAAACAACUCAAGCUGAGAACUUUAUUGCUGAUUCACGUUAUACCACACCGCCUUCUAAUAUAGAUCUGAUCUAUAUUAUAUAUACGUGUACCUUAGAUAAUGCCUCUCUGAACGCCAUGGUGGGACGUUCCCGAGUUGAAGUACUGUACAAGUCCUAAGCAUUAGAUCACCCCAAUUACUCUUGUAUACUCUUUCCAUACCAUCGUGAUCUUUGCCUGACGAAACCAUACACAAAUCAUAAUUGACAUUUGGGGCCUAAUUCUAAAAUCACCACAUACCAAAUGCACAACCGUUUUGUCUUGCUGCCAUCACAAAAUAAUAAUGUUUAAACCUUAAGUAACAGGGUCACAGAGGGUGUAUAUAUUUUUCCACACUACAUGAAGUUUUGGGAUUCUUAUAGACUGUGGAACAGAAGUGUACUCAGUGUGUCUCCACCGUUUUAUUUCAUAUUGGAGUACAGCCAUUUUUCUUUUUUACCAUUAAGGAUGAAACACUUGUUUCUUUUAAAACACCGUCUUUAAAUGUUUUUCUACCUCCUAACUAAACCCUCGGACUUAAGACACGAUCUUUGGAGCUGUUGACGCCCUGCUCAGGGUUAAACAACAACGUCUUUACAUUACUUUCAUUAAUAAUUUGUCAAUCUAUCCUCUUGGUUUUUUUAUUUUUUUUUUGGAGCAAAAGUCAGGUCCUCUCUCAUUUCAACAGGUCCUCUUGUUGGUGAAUACACAGCAAUCUUCUAAGGGUAUUCGGAUUUCUCGGAGCAGACAUUGUAGCAGAUAGUUGCAGAGUUUCUUCUGUGUUUUAACCACAAUGUCUUAACCAUUAUUUUAACACUGAGACACACGACUCCCUUUAAUUCGUUAACAAACACAUUUGUAAGAAUUCUGGUCAGCAAAACCCCCAAAAGAACACCUGUGUGUGUGUGUGUGUGUGUGUGUGUGUGUGUGUGUGUGUGUGUGUGUGUGUGUGUGUGUGUGUGUGUGUGUGUGUGUCUGUCUGUCUGUCUGUCUGUCUCUCUCUCUCUCUCUCUCUCUCUCUCUCACACCCACCCCCGCACACCCACAUGGUCAUCAGAGGUCAUAAAUGUACUGCUGGGACAUGGGAUGUCGAAGCAUAGACGAAAGCUUAUGUAUUUAGCGAUAGUUCUGUGUAAGUAUCCUCGUUGGCGAACCAUUUUCUGAAAUCUUGUUUAUAGUUUAAACAAAAUGCACGACUCUUUUAAAACACCGUCUUUAAAAAAGGUUUUUCACCCUUAAAUUAACCUGGUUAGAAGGUAGGAUAUGUAAUACAUAUUUUAAUUUUCUUCAGACAUAUUGUCACUUCAGUCUCCACAACGAAUAACACCGAAGGUUUUGAGCUUUCUUUCAGUAAAAGAGAACAACGACAUCAUACAGCCUUGAAGGACUGUAGAAAUUUUUAUUUUACAUCCUAAAGGGUUAGGUUUAGAAGGCAUGUAAUACGCGCGUUUCUUAUAAAACACCGUCUUUAAAACGUUUACCUCCUAAAGGGACCUAUUUAGAAGGUAUGUAAAAACUUUUUUUUUUUUUUUUUACAUUUCUUCGGGUAUAUCAAUGUUUUAGAGUAUUUAUUUCAGUAAAUUUUUAUUCAAAGUCAUGCCAAUUUCUCAAAAGUGCAAUCAAUAAAGUUUAAUUUAUUUCACAAGCUUACAUUCUGCUCAUUUAUGUUCACAUUCAACCAUCGUGUAUUUUCUAACAGCGGAGCGAUACAAAACAAACCCCCACAAUCUAAAUUUAAUGUGUGGUUGCAAUAUAA